AGUGAACGCUGGCGGUAGGCCUAACACAUGCAGGUCGAACGGCAGCACAGUAAGAGCUUGCUCUUACGGGUGGCGAGUGGCGGACGGGUGAGGAAUACAUCGGAAUCUACUUUUUCGUGGGGAUAACGUAGGGAAGCUUACGCUAAUACCGCAUACGACCUACGGGUGAAAGCAGGGGAUCUUCGGACCUUGCGCGAUUGAAUGAGCCGAUGUCGGAUUAGCUAGUUGGCGGGGUAAAGGCCCACCAAGGCGACGAUCCGUAGCUGGUCUGAGAGGAUGAUCAGCCACACUGGAACUGAGACACGGUCCAGACUCCUACGGGAGGCAGCAGUGGGGAAUAUUGGACAAUGGGCGCAAGCCUGAUCCAGCCAUACCGCGUGGGUGAAGAAGGCCUUCGGGUUGUAAAGCCCUUUUGUUGGGAAAGAAAAGCAGCAGGUUAAUACCCCGCUGUUCUGACGGUACCCAAAGAAUAAGCACCGGCUAACUUCGUG
rnacentral:rRNA from 1 species